rnacentral:rRNA from 1 species
GUAGGGAAUAUUGGGCAAUGGUCGGAAGACUGACCCAGCCAUGCCGCGUGCAGGAAGACGGCCCUCUGGGUUGUAAACUGCUUUUAUCUGGGAAGAAAAAGGCCAUGCGUGGCAAAUUGCCGGUACCAGAUGAAUAAGCACCGGCUAACUCCGUGCCAGCAGCCGCGGUAAUACGGAGGGUGCGAGCGUUGUCCGGAUUUGUUGGGUUUAAAGGGUGCGUAGGCGGCUGAUUAAGUCAGCGGUGAAAGACUUCGGCUUAACCGGAGCAGUGCCGUUGAUACUGGUUGGCUUGAGUGUCGGAGGGGUACAUGGAAUUGAUGGUGUAGCGGUGAAAUGCAUAGAUACCAUCAGGAACACCGAUAGCGAAGGCAUUGUACUGGCCGACAACUGACGCUGAUGCACGAAAGUGUGGGGAUCGAACAGGAUUAGAAACCCUAGUAGUCC